UUUUUUUUUUUAGAAUAUGCAAAAAUCAUACAAAUACAAGAAAACAUCAACAGAUAACAAAAACAAAGUAACAAACCAAAAACAAAACAAAAACAUCAACAAUAUAGUCAGGUACUGGUAUGUGCGUGAGUGUGUGCGUGUGAGUGUGUGUAUGCAUGUAAAGGUAACUUGGUGGACAGGUCAGAGUACAUACAUUAGGAACAAUAACAGUCAAUAAAUGAAGCAAGUGUCACAGAUAUAGAUAAAACAUAUAGAAAGAAACCAGUCAGAGGUAGGGAGUAACAACAAUGCUUAUUAAUGUAUGAUAGUAAAUAUGAGAGUAAAAAGAGAGAAAGGACAACAGUCCAACGUUACUCCAUUUCUAAUAUAGUGAUAUUUACUUAGAAUGGAAUGACAUUAUGCUAUUUAAUAAAUUAAACCUUCAUUAAAACACUUAUUACAAACUAUAAAAGA
rnacentral:lncRNA from 1 species